rnacentral:tRNA from 1 species
CGCGGGAUGGAGCAGUUGGUAGCUCGUCGGGCUCAUAACCCGAAGGUCGUAGGUUCAAGUCCUACUCCCGCAACUA